GAGCUACUCCCUCCGUUCCAAAUUACUCGUCACAGAAAUGGAUGUAUCUAGAACUAAAAUACAUCUAGAUACAUCCAUACCUACGACAAGUAAUUCGGAACGGAGGGAGUAACUA
rnacentral:pre_miRNA from 1 species